rnacentral:rRNA from 1 species
UGGGGAAUUUUGGACAAUGGGGGCAACCCUGAUCCAGCCAUGCCGCGUGCGGGAAGAAGGCCUUCGGGUUGUAAACCGCUUUUAGCUGGGAAGAAAAGAUCACGGAUAACACCCGUGGUUCUUGACGGUACCGGCGGAAUAAGCACCGGCUAACUACGUGCCAGCAGCCGCGGUAAUACGUAGGGUGCGAGCGUUAAUCGGAAUUACUGGGCGUAAAGCGUGCGUAGGCGGUUCGUUGUGUCCGUCGUGAAAGCCCCGGGCUUAACCUGGGAACUGCGAUGGAAACUAGCGAGCUGGAGUGUGGCAGAGGAGGGUGGAAUUCCGCGUGUAGCAGUGAAAUGCGUAGAGAUGCGGAGGAACACCGAUGGCGAAGGCAGCCCUCUGGGCUAACACUGACGCUCAGGCACGAAAGCGUGGGGAGCAAACAG